rnacentral:rRNA from 1 species
AGUGAACGCUGGCGGCGUGCCUAAUACAUGCAAGUCGAACGGAGUGGCGCACGGGUGAGUAAUAUAUAGCUAAUCUGCCCCUUGCUGGAGGACAACAGUUAGAAAUGACUGCUCAUACUCCAUAGCAAGGGAUGAGACUAUAUCGUAUCAGCUAGUCGGUGGGGUAACGGCCUACCGAGGCUAUGACGCGUAACUGGUCUGAGAGGAUGAUCAGUCAAAUUUGAACUGAGACACCGUCCAGACUCCUACGGGAAGGGGCAGUAGGUAAUAGUGCGCAAGGGGGGGAACCCUGACGCAGCAACGCCGCGUGGAGGAUGACACUUUGCGGGGCGUAAACUCCUUUUGUUAGGGAAGCGGUACCUAACGAAUAAGCACCGGCUAACUCCGUGCCAGCAGCCGCGGUAAUUC